CGCGGCCUAUCAGCUUGUUGGUGGGGUAAUGGCCUACCAAGGCGACGACGGGUAGCCGGCCUGAGAGGGCGACCGGCCACACUGGGACUGAGACACGGCCCAGACUCCUACGGGAGGCAGCAGUGGGGAAUAUUGCACAAUGGGCGGAAGCCUGAUGCAGCGACGCCGCGUGAGGGAUGACGGCUUUCGGGUUGUAAACCUCUUUCAGCAGGGACGAAGCGCAAGUGACGGUACCUGCAGAAGAAGCGCCGGCCAACUACGUGCCAGCAGCCGCGGUAAGACGUAGGGCGCAAGCGUUGUCCGGAUUUAUUGGGCGUAAAGAGCUCGUAGGCGGCUUGUCGCGUCGACUGUGAAAACCCGUGGCUCAACUGCGGGCCUGCAGUCGAUACGGGCAGGCUAGAGUUCGGUAGGGGAGACUGGAAUUCCUGGUGUAGCGGUGAAAUGCGCAGAUAUCAGGAGGAACACCGGUGGCGAGGGCGGGUCUCUGGGCCGAUACUGACGCUGAGGAGCGAAAGCGUGGGGAGCGAACAGGAUUAGACACCCUGGUAGUCCACGCUGUAAACGUUGGGCGCUAGGUGUGGGGGGCCUCUCCGGUUCUCUGUGCCGCAGCUAACGCAUUAAGCGCCCCGCCUGGGAGUACGG
rnacentral:rRNA from 1 species